rnacentral:rRNA from 1 species
UACGUAGGGUGCGAGCGUUGUCCGGAAUUAUUGGGCGUAAAGAGCUCGUAGGCGGUUUUGUCACGUCUGCUGUGAAAUCCCGAGGCUCAACCUCGGGCCGCAGUGGGUACGGGGCAGACUGGAGUGCGGUAGGGGGAGAAAUGGAAUUCCUGGUGUAGCGGUGAAAUGCGUAGAUAUCGGGAGGAACACCUAUGGCGUAAGCAGGCUCUGGACCAUCAUUUGACGUGAUCUGCGAAAAGCUAGGGGGAGCAAAACAGG